UCGAGAAUUUUUCUCAAUGGGCGAAAGCCUGAAGGAGCGACGCCGCGUGGGGGAUGAAGGGCUUCGGCCCGUAAACCCCUGUCAUUUGCGAACAAACCUUACGUGUGAACAACAUGUGAGCUGAUUGUAGCGAAAGAGGAAGGGACGGCUAACUCUGUGCCAGCAGCCGCGGUAAUACAGAGGUCCCAAGCGUUGUUCGGAUUCACUGGGCGUAAAGGGUGUGCAGGUGGGUUGGUAAGUUUGGUGUGAAAGCUUCGGGCUUAACCCGGAAAAUGCAUUGAAUACUACUGAUCUGGAGGAUUGGAGGGGGGACUGGAAUUCUUGGUGUAGCAGUGAAAUGCGUAGAUAUCAAGAGGAACACCAGUGGCGAAGGCGAGUCCCUGGACAAUACCUGACACUGAGGCACGAAAGCCAAGGGAGCAAACAG
rnacentral:rRNA from 1 species